UUUGAACAAGGAUAGUUGUGAAAUGGGGUGAAAACCAUUAAAUUAUACACAUAAAAAUCCAGCAAGAAGAUUAAACUACUAAAUGUAUUCAUUUUAGAUCAAGACAUCAAAGAGGGAGAAUCAAGCAAAGGCAAAGCAAAGAUAAUCGAGUAGUCGAUUGGGAAUCAUUUCAUCCAAUAUAAGGUUUCUUGGACUCGUCCUUUUGCGUGCUCGUGAUCGUCAUCGAAGUCAUCACACCGGCUAGCAACUUUUGGUAUCUUUUUUUGUAGUCGGUCUAGGAGAACAUUUUGGCAUGUAUAGGCUAAUAUGCUUUGUUGAACUUUGGUAUGUAAACUUUUAGCCAUGCGAAAAUGGCAUAAAUGUUCGGUUGGAUUUAGUUCUCUAAUGUUAAGUUGCAAGUCUUGGUAAUUCGAUUUUUAUGCCAUAUGCCAUGGUUGAUUAUUUUGGUGUUAAAA